CCUCCUCCAAACCCCCAUGGCCGCCGCCCCCUCCUCCCAAUCCCCUAUGGUCGUCGCCUCCCGUCCGGUGCCGCCGCACCACACAGCCGGCGGUUGACCCCACACCGCUGCUGCUCCCACUCCUCCAGCGCCAUCUCCCCCCAUCGACCGCCGCCCUGUCGCCCCGUCGCCGUCCAGCCAGUCGCCUCCGUCGCCGGCCAACGCUGCACCGUCGACGUCCAGCCACCCCUCGUGCGCCCUCCAGCCAUUCUAGCGGCGCCUUCAUCCCCGACGACCGGCGCCCCUCGCAGUCUUGUAGUACAGUGCCCCUCAAAAGAACACCUAUUACACAGCUCUGAAAGCAGCAGAUCCACUACAUUGGAAGGACCGUGAUCUCGAUCCAGAAAUCAUGUACUCCUCCAGUGGUGGCAUGCCCAUGGGCGACUAGCAAUAGGUGAUGGUGCUAUAAAGAAAGCAGUGGUAGUUGCAAAAGCUAGAUAGAAUGACACAAGGCCAUCAAACUCCAUAUCAUACCAUUGUUUAUUGAAGGAAAAUGCUCAACUUAAAAGGCGCUGCAAGAAUAAUUUUGUUCUGAGCAAACAUGUACAGGGGUUUUAUGGCAAGCUAGGAUGGGAAGUACCCGAAGAUCUUCUUGCCUACCAAGAUGAGCUGAUGGAUGGCGGUGAUCUGGUGAAUGAAAUACCCCAGGCCCAAGAGGAUGGUGGUACUCCAAUGACAGAUUCUUCACAUGAUGAAAGGCAUGUUGAUGCUGGUACUCAAAUGGAUGAUCAUGGUUCUGGUC